GCGUUAAGCAACCCACCUGGGGAGUACGCCGGCAACGGUGAAACUCAAAGGAAUUGACGGGGGCCCGCACAAGCGGAGGAACAUGUGGUUUAAUUCGAUGAUACGCGAGGAACCUUACCCGGGCUUGAAAUGUACCUGACGGGAGGCAGAGACGCCUUCUUUCUUCGGACAGGUAUGUAGGUGCUGCAUGGUUGUCGUCAGCUCGUGCCGUGAGGUGUCGGCUUAAGUGCCAUAACGAGCGCAACCCUUCCCGCCGGUUACCAUCAUUAGGUUGGGGACUCCGGCGGCACUGCCACCGCAAGGUGUGAGGAAGGCGGGGAUGACGUCAAAUCAGCACGGCCCUUACGUCUGGGGCCACACACGUGUUACAAUGGGGGGCACAGAAAGCUGGAUGCCGGCGACGGCAUUCGAAUCAUCAAAUCCCCUCCCAGUUCGGACUGGAGUCUGCAACCCGACUCCACGAAGCUGGAUUCGCUA
rnacentral:rRNA from 1 species